GGGCUUGAUAUCCUAAGAACCUCUUAGAGAUAAGAGGGUGCUAGCUUGCUAGAACUUAGAGACAGGUGCUGCACGGCUGUCGUCAGCUCGUGUCGUGAGAUGUUGGGUUAAGUCCCGCAACGAGCGCAACCCACGUAUUUAGUUGCUAACGGUUCGGCCGAGCACUCUAAAUAGACUGCCUUCGUAAGGAGGAGGAAGGUGUGGACGACGUCAAGUCAUCAUGGCCCUUAUGCCCAGGGCGACACACGUGCUACAAUGGCAUAUACAAUGAGACGCAAUACCGCGAGGUGGAGCAAAUCUAUAAAAUAUGUCCCAGUUCGGAUUGUUCUCUGCAACUCGAGAGCAUGAAGCCGGAAUCGCUAGUAAUCGUAGAUCAGCCAUGCUACGGUGAAUACGUUCCCGGGUCUUGUACUCACCGCCCGUCACACCAUGGGAGUUGAUUUCACUCGAAGCCGGAAUACUAAACUAGUUACCGUCCACAGUGGAAUCAGCGACUGGGGUGAAGUCGUAACAAGGUAACCGUAGGAGAACCUGCGGUUGGAUCACCUCCUUU
rnacentral:rRNA from 1 species